rnacentral:rRNA from 1 species
UUAAAUUGAAGAGUUUGAUCAUGGCUCAGAUUGAACGCUGGCGGCAGGCUUAACACAUGCAAGUCGAACGGUAACAUGAGUGCUUGCACUUGAUGAC